AACGCGAAGAACCUUACCCACCUUUGACAUGGCAGGAAUCCUGAAGAGAUUUAGGAGUGCUCGAAAGAGAACCUGCACACAGGUGCUGCAUGGCUGUCGUCAGCUCGUGUCGUGAGAUGUUGGGUUAAGUCCCGCAACGAGCGCAACCCUUGCCAUUAGUUGCUACGAAAGGGCACUCUAAUGGGACUGCCGGUGACAAACCGGAGGAAGGUGGGGAUGACGUCAAGUCCUCAUGGCCCUUAUAGGUGGGGCUACACACGUCAUACAAUGGCCGGUACAGAGGGUAGCCAACCCGCGAGGGGGAGCCAAUCCUGCAAAGCCGGUCGUAGUCCGGAUCGCAGUCUGCAACUCGACUGCGUGAAGUCGGAAUCGCUAGUAAUCGCGGAUCAGAAUGUCGCGGUGAAUACGUUCCCGGGUCUUGUACACACCG
rnacentral:rRNA from 1 species